CUUGCUCCUGGGUGACGAGCGGCGGACGGGYGAKUAAUGUCUGGGAAACUGCCUGAUGGAGGGGGAUAACUACUGGAAACGGUAGCUAAUACCGCAUAACGUCGCAAGACCAAAGAGGGGGACCUUCGGGCCUCUUGCCAUCAGAUGUGCCCAGAUGGGAUUAGCUAGUAGGUGGGGUAACGGCUCACCUAGGCGACGAUCCCUAGCUGGUCUGAGAGGAUGACCAGCCACACUGGAACUGAGACACGGUCCAGACUCCUACGGGAGGCAGCAGUGGGGAAUAUUGCACAAUGGGCGCAAGCCUGAUGCAGCCAUGCCGCGUGUAUGAAGAAGGCCUUCGGGUUGUAAAGUACUUUCAGCGGGGAGGAAGGCGUUGUGGUUAAUAACCACAGCGAUUGACGUUACCCGCAGAAGAAGCACCGGCUAACUCCGUGCCAGCAGCCGCGGUAAUACGGAGGGUGCAAGCGUUAAUCGGAAUUACUGGGCGUAAAGCGCACGCAGGCGGUCUGUCAAGUCGGAUGUGAAA
rnacentral:rRNA from 1 species